CCUACGGGGGGCAGCAGUGGGGAAUAUUGCACAAUGGGCGCAAGCCUGAUGCAGCCAUGCCGCGUGUGUGAAGAAGGCCUUCGGGUUGUAAAGCACUUUCAGCGGGGAGGAAGGCGGUGAGGUUAAUAACCUCAUCGAUUGACGUUACCCGCAGAAGAAGCACCGGCUAACUCCGUGCCAGCAGCCGCGGUAAUACGGAGGGUGCAAGCGUUAAUCGGAAUUACUGGGCGUAAAGCGCACGCAGGCGGUCUGUCAAGUCGGAUGUGAAAUCCCGGGGCUCAACCUGGGAACUGCAUUCGAAACUGGCAGGCUAGAGUCUUGUAGAGGGGGGUAGAAUUCCAGGUGUAGCGGUGAAAUGCGUAGAGAUCUGGAGGAAUACCGGUGGCGAAGGCGGCCCCCUGGACAAAGACUGACGCUCAGGUGCGAAAGCGUGGGGAGCAAACAGGAUUAGAUACCCGAGUAGUC
rnacentral:rRNA from 1 species